UUUAUUAAAUUAUUUGUGUAUUUAUUUUCUUUCUUUCUCUGGCCCCUCUCUCUUGUGUUGAGCAUCUUAAAAGACAUCUCUGAAGACUAAAUUGUGAAUCUCUUCUUGUUUUGGGUACUGUUUAUGUAAAUGCUUGUUGCUGCAGGUUGAUUAUCUGCUAACCUCUGAUUUUAAAUCUACAUGGACAUUGACAUGCAGUGGCCAAAAGGUCAUCAUUUUUUGAUGAUACACUCAAGGAAAUUCUAGAAUUAACUGCCUUGGUAAAAGAUGACAUCACCGCACUUGAUGUAGCAGUAUCGGAUCUGCAAAGUGCAAAUUAAGUAUGAAGAGUUUGGUUGGUUUCUUGUCCUACAAACUUAGUCAUGAUAGCAUAACUACAAUUUCAAGAUGCCGCAUGCUUUUUGUGGGAGAAGGAAGCCUGCUUAAUUACCUUUGUGCAUUCAACAUCUGAUGAUUCAGCAUGGAUUUGUAUUAGCAUGAUCUGUUUCUUGUGUGCAUUCAACAUCUGAUGAUUGAUCAUGGAUUUGUAUUAGCCUGAUCCGUUUCUUGUGUGCAGUCUUGCAAAUGUUGAUCCAAUUGACGGUGCUAGAAAUAUUACUGGGUUGAAUCCUGAGACUACAUUAGUUGUGGUGGUUUCAAAGACUUUUACAACAGCUGAAACGAUGUUGAAUGCUCGGACCUUGAGGGAAUGGAUUUCAUCUGCUUUGGGGUUGGUGUUAUAGCAGAAGUUUUCCUUUGUUUGAGAUGUAGGCAUACUGCACAGUGCAAGAUUAGAUUUGAAUUUCUCAGGGAGAGAAUAUUCAAUCAGAAAUUAUUAUAUUUACAGGAGUUUGAAUAUUGACUUUAUCGGAAAAGGUAAAUUAGUUGUCUUCAUGUGAUUCUUUGCUCUGGGCAGACUAUAAUCUGCAAGUAAUUGGAAAUCCUUUGAUUGUUCUGGAUGCCAAUGAACUUAUUUGAAGCUAUUUCUGUUCAUCGGUAUAUGGUGAUGAUUCCAUCAGGAAAAUAAUUGAACACAAGGGGUAUAACCAAACUCUCUCAGAUUAUCUCUGGUCAUAUGUGUGAAAUGAUUUGGUCAUAUGUGUGAGAAAUGAUUUGGUCAUAUGUGUGAGAUAUGAUUUCGCAGGCCCAAGGCAGUUGCAAAGGAUAUGGUUGCAUCAGUACUAAUCUAAUGGUAUUACACUGUUCUGUUUCCUCUUGUGCUAGGGGGUUAACAUCUCCUGUCGUCUUUGAAGAUAUCAGUUUUGUGCAAAAGAGUAAAAAAAAUGGAUAGUAACUGCUUGCUAAUCCAAUAUGUAAAUGCAUUUUAUUCCUCACUUUUGUGUUUUAAGCCUACUCAUUCCUUUUUAUGUGGUUGAGUUACUAGAAAUCAAUUGUUGAGUGCUAUUUUGAUCAAGUUGAUUAAUGUCCACUUUUAUAACUCCUCCUGUGUAUUUUACUUAAUUGUCAGUGCAGCUUGUAGAACUGUUUGGCAUUGAUCCUAAUAAUGCCUUUGCAUUUUGGGACUGGGUCGGAGGCAGAUAUAGCGUGUGUAGCGCAGUUGGAGUAUUAGCUUUAUCUCUCCAAUGUGGGUUCUCUGUGGUCGAAAAAUAGAGUAACUCGCCCCCUCUCUUAAAUUCAGCAAUUUUUUUUUUUUUUGACGUGCUAUUUUAGUCGGAAUUAUAGAUUGUUUGACACUUUAUUCUUCCUGUAACAUGUCCCUCAGAUGAAUUGAAUGCCUAAGUUUUGUUGUGCAAGUCAAACAAGCCUUACAAUUGCAAAUUUUCUCAAACUUAGUUGAUGAUAUGAUGGCACUUCUGCUUUGCAUGAGUAUUUGGCUUCCUCGGGUCCUUCAGAACACUGGCAAUAGGAGGACUGAGGUCUGAGGAGUCUUUCACAUGUAAACAACAGGAAAAUGAAAGGAAACUACCAAGUGUUGCCCCCAAACCAAAUCCACAGCCUUGGAUUCUAUAGCAUUGUAUGGUCUGAAGUUGCUUCCCUUAAGCUUAAACCUCCAUCUCUUGGUUGACAGUACAAGAUUUAUCCAUUCAACAUACUAGAUCCAUAGAUGAUCUACAUUGCUUUCUCAGUUUGCGAUGUUUUCAGUUUCAUGCCAUCUGCAGUUUACCUAUUUAUCUUAGCCCCUCGGUUUCCUUAGAGACUACUUUUGUUGGAAGUUCCCUGGUUUUAUUUAUUCAUCUAUUUUUAAUUUUCUCUUAAAAAGGUUCCUGCAGGGAGCUUCAAGCAUCGACACUACUAUGUAUUUCUCCUAUUUGUAUUCUUUCUAUCAAAUCCGUAGCCGUAGGUAUAGUGAAUGUCUGUGUUCUUGUACUCAUGACAUAACAACAGAGAAUUUGUGUACCUUCUAAACUCCUUUUUGUCUGGGUUGUUAAGUUUAGAACCCCUUAUUUGUGGGUUUCAUGCCCCCACAGCUGGGUGAAAUAUACGACUUUGUUAUAGAAGAUUCUUGUGAUCCACCUAGGAGGCACUUUUCAACAAAAAUUUAUGAGGGAUACUUAUCAAUGGCAUUGCAUAAUUUCUGCAGGUGCUUUUAGGUUUAUUGAGCAUAUGGAAUGUUUGUUUCUUGGACACCCUGCAAGAGUGAGUACAUCAGUGCUACAAAGUUUGAGAAUUUCUAUCUUUAUGGGUGCUACCAGAUGAUAUGUUUUCAUAAAAGUUAAAGUUGACAUUGUCUCGGAAAUUCCAGGCCAUUUUACCCUAUUCUCAAGCCUUGGAGAACCUUGCGCUUCAUAUUCAACAGGCAUGUUUACCAUUACUUCUGCUUCUUUUUUUAAAUUUUUUUAUUGUCUCGGAAAUUCCUUGAUAAUUCUCUUACACCGUGCUAAACUUGCUCAAAAUUUUGGUUUGUAUGGAAAGCAACGGAAAAGGGGUGUCAAAGAAGAAUACCAUCAUCGAGUACUGAAUCGGAUUCUGAGAUCACCAGCCUAUCGAACCUUUAAAUGAGGGGUUCUUCUCUUUCCCCCUGAGGGAAAGCCCUUUCCAGAUGGAGUAGUGCAUCUCUGUCUUGAAAGCCCCCCCUAAAGAUAGGAGUUCUUACCUCUACUGCCUAUCCAACCCGAAGACUCGUAUACGUGGUGGAGUGCUUUGAGUAGGAUCCGAUCCGAUCCCAGCAGUCAAAUCAGAAUUGAUGAAAUUGAGAUUUGAAAUCUGACAAAAACCGAUUCUAUGGCGAUUUCUAUGUAGAAAACUGAAUGAAGGGGGAGAAUGCGUGUUGAUGUAGCCUUUAUUGCCGCAGCUUUCUUUUCGUGAACUCGGUAAAGGAACGAAUCAAAGAUCUACUCUUAACUUAAUGGGUGAACUACUGAACGAGCCGAGAACAAGUGAUCUGGAGAAAGCACAGAGAAGAUAAAAAAGAUAAGGAUAUAAAUAUAGCUACUUGAGAGAUGGUAAUAAAUGGAACUACUUGGUUGAACAACAGCAAAGAAACAGAAUCUGCAGGGACGGACUGACAUAGUUCAAUUGCCGGAAAAGAGGGAUAACUAUGAGUUUGGGUAUGAGCCUGAUGAAGAAUUUGCACCGCCACAAUGGCAGAAAGUUAAAUUGAUUUCGGUGAACCAGGAACAAAAGGUCAGCACAGCUUUUACCAAUUCACCAGGUAAUUUACGAGCUCUAAAUUCUACUCCUAUAUUGAAACCAGCAAGUAAACGAGCUUCUUCUUCAUCUGAUGUUUCUUGGAGGUCAGUAAUAUAUCAUGUCUGAGGUAGCUACUAAUGGCAGUUGAAUACUUUUUUCUUUUCGAGUGUGUUGCAUAUGAUGACCUUUUGAUUAGAGGUGCUAUGCAAAACUCAAAUUUCUUCUUGAAUACUGUUGUAUAUGUACUCUUGAUGUCACUACAACACAUAUGGGCUUCAAUAGCAUAUUUUUAUAGCGUUUUUCCAAAAAUGCUAUUUUAGAGAUGCAAUAAUAGCGGACAUGCACUGUUUGGACGCAGAAGAGUUUGACAUAACGUUUCAUUAAAACUCUUCUUUCUCUUCUACAACAUGCAGCCGUGCACCUAAAUAUUAGACGCCACUAUCACAGCCUCUGAAAUUUCAAUCGAUUUCAUGAGAUGGCGCUAUAUUCCCAAGUCCCAACCUCGUGCGAACCGAUGAUGGCUGAAGCUGGAUCAAUUGCUUUGCUAGGGUUUGUUCCUCUCCUCUAGUUUUCAAUAACCUUCACACCCUAAUGAUCGACUAUUCUUCUGGUUUUUCUGCUUGCUCAGGAUCGAUUGCUGCUGUGCUAGGGUUUCAAUCCUGAGUUUGUUCUGUCUUCCACGGAUCCACCCAAAGGUUUGUUCCUCCUCCUCUAUUUUCUGAAAAGCUGAAGCUUCACACCCUACUAUAGUACUAUCUGACUUGAUUUUUCAUUCUGUCUUCUUGAUUCCGUUCUAUAGUUUGUUCGACAGUAUUUGGGGCUACUGUCUGCCACAUAUGAAUCCUAAGGCUCGGUUUGAAACAAACUUUUGUGCCCUAGUACCCUUGGAUAUUUGGACAAUAGAAUCCAGAAAAUACGAUAGAUGCAAAUGGGUACUCCUCGAACGAGAAGGAAAAAACUAUUGUAUUUUGAAAAACUGUUGUGCAAUUGAUCCAAAUAGGGCUUGAUUUUUGAGUGGUCGGUUUUUAAUCUUCAUCCAUUAGGAUUUGAUAAUGCAAUUCUCGUUUUCCCCCAAAUCUCUCCCGAAAUCUUUCAAAUUUUCUCCAAACAUCUUUCUUUUCUUGUUUGCCUCCGUUGCCGCAGCGCCUCCAUGAACUCGCAAUCAUAGAUGGUAAAGAUCUGAACCGUUUACCCCAACAGAUUUUGGAAAGUAUAAAUAGAGAAAAAUUUGUAAAGUUGUCGACUUGUCGAGUAUUUUUUACUAUUUUCUACAUUAGUUUGCUGUGGGAUCAACAAUUAAUUGUGUAUUCUAGAUUAGUUUUGGUAGAUGUAGAUUUCAUUGUGU